rnacentral:rRNA from 1 species
GCAGUCGAGCGAACAGAUAAGGAGCUUGCUCCUUUGACGUUAGCGGCGGACGGGUGAGUAACACGUGGGUAACCUACCUAUAAGACUGGGAUAACUUCGGGAAACCGGAGCUAAUACCGGAUAACAUUUGGAACCGCAUGGUUCUAAAGUGAAAGAUGGUUUUGCUAUCACUUAUAGAUGGACCCGCGCCGUAUUAGCUAGUUGGUAAGGUAACGGCUUACCAAGGCGACGAUACGUAGCCGACCUGAGAGGGUGAUCGGCCACACUGGAACUGAGACACGGUCCAGACUCCUACGGGAGGCAGCAGUAGGGAAUCUUCCGCAAUGGGCGAAAGCCUGACGGAGCAACGCCGCGUGAGUGAUGAAGGGUUUCGGCUCGUAAAACUCUGUUAUUAGGGAAGAACAAAUGUGUAAGUAACUGUGCACNUCUUGACGGUACCUAAUCAGAAAGCCACGGCUAACUACGUGCCAGCAGCCGCGGUAAUACGUAGGUGGCAAGCGUUAUCCGGAAUUAUUGGGCGUAAAGCGCGCGUAGGCGGUUUCUUAAGUCUGAUGUGAAAGCCCACGGCUCAACCGUGGAGGGUCAUUGGAAACUGGGAAACUUGAGUGCAGAAGAGGAAAGUGGAAUUCCAUGUGUAGCGGUGAAAUGCGCAGAGAUAUGGAGGAACACCAGUGGCGAAGGCGACUUUCUGGUCUGUAACUGACGCUGAUGUGCGAAAGCGUGGGGAUCAAACAGGAUUAGAUACCCUGGUAGUCCACGCCGUAAACGAUGAGUGCUAAGUGUUAGGGGGUUUCCGCCCCUUAGUGCUGCAGCUAACGCAUUAAGCACUCCGCCUGGGGAGUACGACCGCAAGGUUGAAACUCAAAGGAAUUGACGGGGACCCGCACAAGCGGUGGAGCAUGUGGUUUAAUUCGAAGCAACGCGAAGAACCUUACCAAAUCUUGACAUCCUUUGAAAACUCUAGAGAUAGAGCCUUCCCCUUCGGGGGACAAAGUGACAGGUGGUGCAUGGUUGUCGUCAGCUCGUGUCGUGAGAUGUUGGGUUAAGUCCCGCAACGAGCGCAACCCUUAAGCUUAGUUGCCAUCAUUAAGUUGGGCACUCUAGGUUGACUGCCGGUGACAAACCGGAGGAAGGUGGGGAUGACGUCAAAUCAUCAUGCCCCUUAUGAUUUGGGCUACACACGUGCUACAAUGGACAAUACAAAGGGCAGCUAAACCGCGAGGUCAUGCAAAUCCCAUAAAGUUGUUCUCAGUUCGGAUUGUAGUCUGCAACUCGACUACAUGAAGCUGGAAUCGCUAGUAAUCGUAGAUCAGCAUGCUACGGUGAAUACGUUCCCGGGUCUUGUACACACCGCCCGUCACACCACGAGAGUUUGUAACACCCGAAGCCGGUGGAGUAACCAUUUAUGGAGCUAGCCUC